rnacentral:rRNA from 1 species
UACGUAGGGGGCAAGCGUUGUCCGGAAUCAUUGGGCGUAAAGCGCGUGUAGGCGGCUCAGUAAGUCCGCUCUGAAAGCCCGGGGCUUAACCCCGGGAGGCGGGUGGAUACUGCUGAGCUUGAGUCCGGAAGAGGCGAGUGGAAUUCCCGGUGUAGCGGUGAAAUGCGCAGAUAUCAGGAAGAACACCCGUGGCUAAGGCGGCUCUCUAGUACGGUACUGACGCUGAGACGCGAAAGCGUGGGGAGCGAACAGG